CCCCUCUCAGGAUAACACCUGGAGAGUUUCCAGUACUCUACCAGUCUCAGCUAUGGGAGGGAGAGGCAAGCAGAGGCUACCCGUUCCAUUCCUAGCUUGGGCAGUGGCUAGCGAGUGGAAGGCAAUCUGCUACAAGU
rnacentral:snoRNA from 1 species